rnacentral:rRNA from 1 species
GCUUGAGCACGUAGGUGGGUUUGUAAGUCAGAUGUGAAAGCCUUCUGUUCAACGGAAGAAUUGCAUCUGAAACUACAAGUCUUGAGUGUAGGAGGGGAGAAUGGAACUUCUGGUGGAGCGGUGAAAUCCGUAGAUAUCGGAAGGAACGCCGGCGGCGAAAGCGAUUCUCUGGCCUAUUACUGACACUCAGUGUGCGAAAGCUAGGGGAGCAAACGGGAUUAGAUACCCCGGUAGUCCUAGCCGUAAACGAUGGGCACUAAGUAGUGGGAUUACCGACGUUCUCUCUGCCGUAGCUAACGCAUUAAGUGCCCCGCCUGGGGAGUACGGCCGCAAGGCUAAAACUCAAAAGAAUUGACGGGGGCUCGCACAAGCGGUGGAGCAUGUGGCUUAAUUCGAUGCAACGCGAAGAACCUUACCGGGGCUUGACAUGGUAGAAGUAGGAACCCGAAAGGGUAACGAACGGUAUCCAGUCCGUGACUAUCACAGGUGUUGCAUGGCUGUCGUCAGCUCGUGUCGUGAGACGUUGGGUUAAGUCCCCUAACGAGCGAAACCCUUGUUUUUAGUUACCAGCGGGUUAUGCCGGGUACUCUAGAAAGACUGCCGUCGUCAAGACGGAGGAAGGUGGGGAUGACGUCAAGUCAUCAUGGCCCUUAUGCCCCGGGCUGCACACGCGCUACAAUGGUCGGUACAAACGGAAGCGAAGCCGAGAGGUGAAGCGAAUCCAAGC